rnacentral:misc_RNA from 1 species
AACCAUUCUCACCUGCGGCUAGACCUGCGGAAGGAUCAUUAAUUAAGACGAUGCCCUUCUUAGGGAACUCCUCCCGGCAUUGCCGGGUGCACUCGCAUCUCCUUGUGAAUAGACCUAUUGCUUUGGUAGCAUCCUACCAUUUGGGUUGUUAGCCUACCUCUAGCUUACAAUAUAAAAUCUAUGAUAUUCCAUGAGGUGUCUGAAAAGAAAAGCAAAUUUUUGUAAAACUUUCAACAACGG